rnacentral:lncRNA from 1 species
AAUAAAUUUUCAUCUGAUAGUUCAUCUGAUUGUUUUGAUUAAAAGGAAAUCAGACAAACUAAAUCUGUUAGGUCAGAAGAGUGUAUAUGUAGUCAUAACUUAAGUGUAAGAAGCCUUUGAAAUUAUUUCCUUUUAAAUAUAUAUGCAUAAUUUUAAUUCACACAAAUUUCUUUAAGGAAAGACUCUGAACUCUGUUAUAAGGGCCUUGCAUUGUUAAGGUUCUCCACCACCUGUCCAUGUUGAGAUCCAUGCAGCAACAUCAGCAUCACCUGGAAGUUUGUUAGUUUUGCAGAAUUUCAGGCUUCACCCUAGACCUGCUGAAUCAGAAUCUGCGU